rnacentral:rRNA from 1 species
CCUACGGGAGGCUGCAGUGGGGAAUAUUGGACAAUGGGCGAAAGCCUGAUCCAGCCAUGCCGCGUGUGUGAAGAAGGCCUUCGGGUUGUAAAGCACUUUCAGUGGGGAAGAAAGCCUUGGGGCUAAUACCCUCGAGGAAGGACAUCACCCACAGAAGAAGCACCGGCUAACUCCGUGCCAGCAGCCGCGGUAAUACGGAGGGUGCGAGCGUUAAUCGGAAUUACUGGGCGUAAAGCGCGCGUAGGCGGUCUGAUAAGCCGGUUGUGAAAGCCCCGGGCUCAACCUGGGAACGGCAUCCGGAACUGUCAGGCUAGAGUGCAGGAGAGGAAGGUAGAAUUCCCGGUGUAGCGGUGAAAUGCGUAGAGAUCGGGAGGAAUACCAGUGGCGAAGGCGGCCUUCUGGACUGACACUGACGCUGAGGUGCGAAAGCGUGGGUAGCAAACAGGAUUAGAUACCCCUGGUAGUC